rnacentral:rRNA from 1 species
UACGUAGGCAGCGAGCGUUGUUCGGAAUUACUGGGCGUAAAGAGUGUGUAGGCGGUGUUCCAAGUUCGGUGUGAAAUCUCCCGGCUUAACUGGGAGGGUGCGCCGAAAACUGGAAUGCUCGAGCGUGGGAGAGGAAAGCGGAAUUCCUGGUGUAGCGGUGAAAUGCGUAGAUAUCAGGAGGAACACCAGUGGCGAAGGCGACUUCCUGGCCUGUUCUUGACGCUGAGGCGCGAAAGCUAGGGGAGCAAACGGG